CGCUCUCUGCAGUUUCAAAACCUGAACGAUGAAAAGAGAUGUACAUCUGGAGGUGAUAAGAGGUGGUGGACGAGUUGCAACAUUGUGGUGGGUGAUUCCAGGUCCCUCAACACUGGUAAUAUGAAAUGUAGAAGAUGGAGAUUUUAGAGCAAGAUCAUAAUAAACAUAAAAGUAAAAACUUCUCUUCUUUAUUUUCAAUACUAAAGCUGAAUACAUAUAUAGGGAAUUUCUUCUUCUUAGCCCUUGCUAUAUUGUCCUUGACCAGUACAAUUUGUUACCAAUUCCUUAUCCUAAAGUAUUAUUUUCUUCUUGGGCUCAAAACCCAUUUAGCCUAGUCAACCAUUUUGGCCCAUCACACUCUCACAUGCUAAGCACAUGAUCAUCUUUCCCUUACGUGAUUUUCUUCUUGGCUUCUUCACCGCCGUCAUUGUUCCCUUUGUUCUCCAUUGUGGUUAUCUUCUUCUUUGUGUCAACAAUUUCUUGUAAAAUCAAACCUUUGGAUGAGUAAUUUCCUACAAUAGUUAUCCGUAACAUAUGUAGAUUUUGCUGUAUAGAAAAUCUUGUGUAGGUUCCAGCGGAUGGGGUAUUAAUAUCUGGCCAUUCACUUGCCCUUGAUGCGUAUAACAUGACUGAGGAGAGCAAAAGCAUGCGUCUGUUGCCAAUGAUAGUGAAGUCGGUGAUCAUAUCAUAAUCCGCAUUAUGAUAUGAUGAUUAACUUCUCUUUUCUUGAUAGGUU